rnacentral:rRNA from 1 species
UGGGGAAUUGUUCGCAAUGGGCGCAAGCCUGACGACGCAACGCCGCGUGGAGGAUGAAGGUCUUCGGAUUGUAAACUCCUGUUGCCCGGGACGAAACGCUUCGACCUAACACGUCGAAGUCUGACGGUACCGGGUGAGGAAGCCCCGGCUAACUCUGUGCCAGCAGCCGCGGUAAUACAGAGGGGGCUAGCGUUGUUCGGAAUUACUGGGCGUAAAGGGCGCGUAGGUGGCCUGUUAAGUCGAACGUGAAAUCCCCGGGCUCAACCCGGGAACUGCGUCCGAGACUGGCAGGCUCGAAUCCGGGAGAGGGAUGUGGAAUUCCAGGUGUAGCGGUGAAAUGCGUAGAUAUCUGGAGGAACACCGGUGGCGAAGGCGGCAUCCUGGACCGGUAUUGACGCUGAGGCGCGAAAGCCAGGGGAGCAAACGGG